rnacentral:lncRNA from 1 species
UUUAAAAAAUACUGAUUUUAUUCAUGUCUAGCCUAUUCAACAGCGGAUCACAACCACAAAUAUCAAGUUACAAGGUUUCACCAGGUUCUUGCCUGUGCAAUGCUGGAUUUGAGUCAAGCACAUAUUACAGCACCACCACUAAUGACAAUGAUUGCUGUUCAAAGCUCACUUGAGUCCCAUCUCCCUGGUACACUUCCAAGCCCAAUAUCCUUUUUUCCCACUGUGUGUGGGAUUGUCUGCAGAGAAUUUGUGUUCUGGAAGCCUGAAUGCAGCAAACACCCUGAAGCACAUACCCCAGCUAAAAAUUCCCUACACCUCAUUUGUUCUUUAUUUGAAAGGCUUCAAGUUUUCAGAGAAACAAACAGAAAGGCUCCCACCAUCAACAAUUUCUCAGAACUAUUGGACCUGAGCUGUAUAAAUCAGGUCCAGUAAGGGAGCUGGAAUUACUCAUCUCUGACCUGCUCUGCAAAUUCCAGCUGUUUUCCUUGGAAUGAUGCAUCAGAGCAAGGUUUCACACCAAAAGCAAAGCACCUCUGUAUCAUGCCUGCUGAUGGUGUCAGCACACAGUAUGGCCCAAGGUGUCUGCCCCAUGGAUUUCCCCAGGGUAUUCACACUUUUCCAAAGGUAGCCAUCACCUACACUGACUCUGAAAAUAAUUGCCCUUGCAAGAAGGGUCCAUGGCAGCUCGGGUCAGCCACAGGGGCUUGACACACAGAUCAGGAUAAAGGGACUUGGAGGAUUCCCACAGCUGGCCUGCACUGACAGAUAGAGCAAGUCCCUUGGGAUUGUGAAUUUUGCCUCCCAAGGACUGCAGGCUCACAUCCACACCCAGGACUAUUCAGAAGAGCUGCACCAAAAGCAGACAUCUGGCAGCUCAGGGUUUCUCUAAGCCCAGUCCUACAAGCCUGUGGGAGCCACAGGUAGCCAGGAAGUUCCUGAGAAAUCCAGACCCUCAGCCAGCAGCACAAAGUCCCAGAGCUGCCAAAUCAGAGAGAACUGCCUUCCACCUCUUUUCCCUCACACACUGAUGCUGAAAACUGCCAGACAGGCUAAAAGUCACUCAGGGAGAUAUAGAGGGUAUUACUGAUAAAGAGUUCUAGGGAAGCUGGAUGCCCAGCAUCCAUCAAACUACCUUCUGGAAAUCCCAGCUGUCACAUUUCACUCCACUUUUCCCUUUAACUCAGGCUUUCCCCUUCCAGAAUCAAUUCUUCCUCCCCACUCUCUCCCACUCCCUGUGCAGAUAGCUGGCAACACACACAAGCUGGAUCCACAUGUGGUCACUGAAAUUUGGCUGCACAGCUGACCUUUGCUGCUGCCAAAGGGAGGGAAUUCCAGGCCAGAGCACUCCUCUCUGCCCUUCACUUUUCAGAGCUAAUUGGCUUUUCUAUCCCUUUCAGCACAGCACAGCAUGGCCUCGUGGAGCUUGAAAAGCAGCAGUGGUUUUUAUCACCAUGGUGCAACGGGAGAAGACUUCAGAGCAUUUUCUGGGAACGCCACGUACAGUUAUAUUACAAUUGCAGAAUUUUCUGGCUUUUGUGUCUCCUAAGUCACACAAUGGACUACAAACAGUGCUAUUUCAGUGAAACUCUCUACAACCACUGAAAGUAAGUCACUAACUCUGUUAGAGCAGGCAAUGGACUCACAUGUUCACAAAAACUGACUACAGAUGCUAAAGCCAGACACUUUGUAGGUAAAUGAGAAACACCUCUGGUUUGGGCCCAUCCCUCAGGCAGCAGGUUUUUUGCAUGAAAAGGAUGAUUACUACUUGCAGGGCUAUAUGAAACAUUUACCUUUUUAUCCAAGUUAUGAAAGCAUAGCUUUGAAAAGCACAGUAAUCCCAAGGCCAAAAAACAGGCAGACAAAUGGACAGAUUUAAGCCACUCAUUUGGUUUUCUUGGAGACAGCGUUUUGCUCUUCCAAGGGCUGACCUUAUGCAUUUGCCAGGACUGGAUGCUCCACUUGAAAAAAAAAAAAAAAAGCUUAAAGGAAAUUUCAACAGCAGACUCUUCUGGAGGUGUCCUCUGUCAAUCUCCAGCUUCUCACAGGACUUGGUGCUUGUCUGGGGCUUUUGAGGAACAGCUCAUAAAUUGCUGCUAUUCAGCCGCUGGCAGUUGAAUCCUGCUUUAUUUAGUUUUUGGAAUCUUGUAGUGGAUUCUCCCUGCUUCCUUCCUCCAGUCCCUGCUCACAUUUAGUUUCAGUUUCCUGGAGCUAAGAGUGUUGACCCCUUUAAAAGCAGCAGCAGCAAGAAGACCACAGAGCAAGGAAAACAGUGUCCUGACCAUAAAGGUUGUACCCUCUGCAUAGAGAGAAACUCCACCAACUUUUCAGGAAGAAGCUAUUUCUGCAAUAGCAGCAGAUGCUGGAGCUGCUUGUUCCUUUGCAUUUAGGGUUGAUGCUGUUCUUUCCAUCACCAUGUGGAAGACACUUCAGUCCUUACCCUGUCACUUGCUGCCCUGAAUUUUCUUUACACUCACUCUUCUUUAUCCCAUAGAGACCUCUGAAUGAGAGGAGCCAGGAGAGAAGAUCAAGUCCAGUCACCUUCAGCUGCUGUAGCAGUGAAUUUUUAUCCACGAAAGCUGGAUCAAAAGGCUCAAACAGGAAAUUACUCAAAAACCCCAAAUUCCAACAUUUUCCAAGAAGGAGCAGAACAGGAAUUUCAUCUUGGAGGUGAGAGCAGGAGCAGGAGUCCAACAAUAAAACACCAUAGAACAGGUCUUCACACCUUUCAUGCUUCCAGUCCUUUGUGUGGAUUAAAAAAUGGCAUCCUCAGUAAAAUUCUUCCUUUCCUUCCUUUCUUCCCCACCUCCAAGGAGCUGAUUUCUGCCCUGCCUGCUUUGGUGCAAAACAUCCUGUGGGAAAACUAUCAGGGGAACCAACCAUCACAAACCAGCCAGGGGAUCAGGAAGGAGCAAUAGUAUCUUCCACUGCAAAACUAUUUCCUAGUGAGAUUGCUGCAAGAGGAAUUUCUGGGUCUUUAAUGUAAUGCUUCAGCUUAUAUGCCUUGCCACCAAGCACCCCGAUGACUUUGCAUUCACAGGCCAGCUGCCCCUCAGCUCAGAUUGUCCUUCACACACUCUCCAGCUCUCUGUGUGCAAGAAUGGACAAAUAAAAUCUCUUCCCAUCUCCAGGUUUGCACUCCCUGCUUUCAAAAGCUGGAGAUUGCCCACCUGAAGUUGGACACAAUAUAAGGCGAUGGGAUCAGCUCUAGUAGGCAAGGAAAACAUCUGUAAAGAUAAGGUGCUGAUACCUGAACACAAAAUAUCCAAAGAGUGCUUUCGCUUGUAGCCACAAUCACAGCAUGGAGAGAAACAGUCCGGGAGGUUGUUAUGGAAACAGGUCCCUGGAGGUGCCUACUUGGCUUCACAGGGAUGUGCUCUACCUUCAGAAGGAAAGAUUUGCAUUUUGAGCAGCUGGGGGGAGUGCUGAGGGCUGAGAACUUGAGGUAAGGUUUUUGAAAGCAUCUCUGUGAUUUGGUGGCACGAGACCUCUGGUAAAAUCAAUGGGCGACACUGUGUCAUUUCAGUCACGUGAAAAAAAAAUCUGAAGGCUCCUUAAAAAAGGUCAGAUUCCACAAGUUCUGUAACAUGCAGCAUUACUGAUGACUCUGGGACUUCACUGCUUUUCAGGAGGUGCUUAGAGAAGGAUUUACAUGCCCCAAAUGAGUCCCAGGGUUACAGUUUCCAUGCUUCUGUUGGUGUUCUGGAGUUCUGUAUCUCUCAGAGCAAACACAGAAAACCCAGGGAACAAACACCACUCCUGCUUUACUCAUUUUCAUCUGCACUUCUCAGAAAUUAUAAAUGUGGCUCACAAAAACUGCACAGAGCUGCCUUGCUCACCACAAAAUCCCUUCACACCUCGGGUGCGAUCGGCGGGCGGGAGAUUCCAAUACCCACUAGGAACUCACUGCUGCAUUCCACCUGGAAACUCACUGCUGGAUCCUACCCAAAGGCAGGACACCUCUUUGAAAGAGGAUCUGUGUAAGAUUGUGCUACCAGUAAUCUUUUUUUCUUGCUGGAGUCUCCAUGCCCAGCUGUCUGUGGUGCUGGUCAGGAGAACAACCUGUUCUAGGCAGGGCCAACAGGGCCAGGCCCAGGGGGAGAAACGAGCACAGGAAUUUUUUUGACGUAGGCUCAGCAUGUCUCAUGACUCCUCCUGAACUUGUGUUCAACCUGAGUUUUUUAUAUCUUACUUUGGGGGAACUUUUAUCAGCUGAUAGACUCAGGCAUAAAAUAUCCCCAAACAUGGGCAUUCUGCUGGAAGAGGGCAACAGCCUCGAAACGUCCCUCUUAAAUAGCAAAAAAAAUUUGAAGAACAGUCCCUCUCUUGGAUCACAAUAAAGAUAUCAUUAAGGUGACCCCGAAACACAGCUACAAAUACCACCAAGACUAAGACACACUAAGAACUGAACAACUUUUAUACAAAAUCGACCACCGUGCCCCUCAGUUUCACUUAUUCACCAGGACAAUUUACCCACCAGCUGAUUACACACACCAAGGGAUGCAGAAUGUUCCCCAAGGCUCAGACCUUCACAAAUUUUUGCCUCAGUCCCAUGAAGCAAAGAGAAAUUAGGCUUUAUUCAGGCAAACCCCUCUGAGCUAUGAGCCCUCACCACAUCAAACUCGUCUCAGUCUCCCAGACUGAGACAAGUGGCAUUUUCCUACUGAUUUCAGCAAGAGAGAGAGCAGAGGUUUUAAUAUAAUGGUUGUGUGCUGACCCCAGGGGAGAUCCCUGCACACCAAAAACAUUUCAGAAGGCAACAGGACUCAGAAGAAAUGGAGUAGCUAUGAUUUGCACAAACAACUUCUACCACAUGAGCAGGGCCAGGAUGGAGAGGCCACAAGAAAAACACUCUAGGCAUGGAGCCAUAGCUCAAGACAAUUGAAAACAGGCACAGUAAUGAAGAUGCAAACAGAUCCUAUCUCACAAACAGUUCUAUAGCCAGUUUUGACUAUAUUAAAGGACAGGGCUCUGAGCAACCUGGUCUAGUGGAAAGUGCCCCUCUUUGGAAAGAGGUCAUUCCUUAAGGUCCCUUCCAACCCAGGUCAUUCUAUGAUGCUAUGCUAUGACUUCAGCAUUCUUAGUCUUACAGCUUGAAAAGCACAAUAUAUACACAAAAUCUAUUCUCUGUAUUUUUGCACCUUGGUAUUAUGUCUGGUUUAUGUAUCACACAUGUCCCAUGCAAUACGUAGUACAUUUCAAUAUGCAUUUCAUACAGUGUGAUGCAAGGCAUUAAUGGCUGCCUUUGCUUCCAUACACAUGCAGACGUGUGAAUGCAGAAUAAACACUUAGAAUUCAAACAAGAAGGACUUUUCCUUGCAGGAAAAUCUGCCAGUGGAACCUGAAAGCAUCCAUUUCCCUUUCUCACCUGCUGGCAGAGCUUGAAACAUUUUCCAAGUUAGGUGUAAGGCAGAGCUGACUGAAACUAAUGAAGUGUUCUGGGAAGCAAAACAUGUAUUUGAAGAUAGGUAUCUCUGGUCCCUUGGCAAACCCGGCACUGCAGGCCAAGCUGUGCAUAUUUUGCAUGGCUGGCACAAACUGCUCUCACAAAAGUGCAAAAACACUGCUGUCCCUCUUCUCCAUGGAAUACCAGGAACUGGCUAGGCCAGCAACACAGCAAAAGCAUCUCUUCAGGGCUCGCUGUUUCUCCCCUCAUUCAAAGGGUCUGGAGGACGCUGCUGGCUCUGUGCAGACAGCUUUGGGAAGUUUGUAUCCGUGCCAGUCUCAGUUUCAAAUGUUGACACGCUCGCCCUGGGGAAUUUUGUGCCUGUGACUUGCUAAACCAGCGCGAUCCUUGCACAGCACAGGUGCAGAGCUCCCCGCGGUCAGGAUUUUCCUGCCAUGUCAACAAAACGCCAGCAUGCAAACUUCCCUCGGCUACACAAAUGCUCAAUUAAAAAAAGCAGCAGAGUCAACUGCUCUCACACUCCAGAAUACAGAGCUGGGUGUCUGAAGCACAAAGCACAUCUCAUUAAACGCUAUUGUGUGAAGAUGAACUCUGCAGAUAACAAAUGAAUUCACUCCAACACGCCUUGCAUCAGAAGGCACUUACCACUAUGAAGAUUAAGUUGGUACUAUAAAAGCCAAUUGACAUCAGGGCACUGGCAUAAACAAGGCUGAGAUAAGCUCAAAACACAGAGAAUCUUCACCAAGCCUGUUGACUGCUUUAAGCCUGUUUUUGAUAUAUGAUGUAUGGUCGCAAGUAGCAAAGAGCUUUUAGAUUUAUGCACCUUUUUUUCCUUUUUUUUUGUAACACAAACCAGGAGGAUCUUUUAGCAUGCCAAGGGUUGCAAAGAAGGCAGGCAUCUGCUUGCUGGCUUUCCCCUACAGCUGCAGAGCUCCCUGUGAUCCCGGCUGCAGUGUUUCCAUUAUUCAAAGGCAAUGGCAUGGCAGGCGUGACUGAUCCCACAGCCAAGGGCACCCGCUGGCACAGGGACUGAGGGCACGGCUCCAGCCAGAUGUUUGCAGCCCCUUUAACUGUUUGCUCUGCUGAAUGCUUCUGUUGAAGUAGUGGCAAGGGCUUCUCUGCUAGUGGAGUUACAAGGCUUGGUUUCAGAGCAAAUGUUGGAUUAAAGCAGUCAUCGAGAGCAGAUAAAGAAAUGCACAAGGGAGUGGGGAUGACAGCUAGCACUCCACAGAAUAAAGCAAGAACAUUUCUGGCUGCACACAGCAAUGAGAAACAGCACAUCAGGCCAGAAGAGCCCAUUAUCACAAUCAUUCUGUUUACGGUAUCACAAUUCACAGUCUGGCAUGUAAAUGCUGAAUAGAUCCAGCUGCUUGUAGGAAGACAACUGUAACAGCAGCUUGCAGCUCCGUGUCUGGACUCAGGACAAUAAAACCCAUCACACCUCUGUCAGCAUUUUCUUCUCUUUAUAUCCCUGGUUAUUGGGAGGAAUGAAAUUGGAAUAUUUCAUGGACUCCAGGUCUUCUGCUUCCAGGAAUUCAGAUUUGCUGAGGGACUGAUUACUGUCCCCCUUCUUGGGCUCAGAGAAGGGUGACUGCUGCUGGCCACAGGUGACGUGGGUGUACUGGCACUGCUCCUCGUGGUCAGUCUCUCGGUGGUAGAAGUAGUUGAAGUUGGACACGAUGACGGGGACAGGCAGGGCAAUGGUGAGCACACCUGCGAUGGCACACAAGGAGCCCACAAUCUUGCCGCCAAUGGUCAUGGGAUACAUGUCCCCAUAGCCCACAGUGGUCAUGGACACCACAGCCCACCAGAAAGCAUCAGGAAUGCUGGUGAACAGUGAGUCAGGGUCGUCAGUCUCUGCAAAGUAGACAGCGCUGGAGAAGAGGAUCACCCCGAUGAAGAGGAAGAAGAUGAGGAGGCCCAGCUCCCUCAUGCUGGCCUGGAGAGUCUUCCCUAAGAUCUGCAGCCCCUUGGAGUGCCUGGAGAGCUUGAAGAUCCUGAAGACUCUGACCAGGCGGAUGACUCUGAGGAUGGCCAGGGACAUGGCUUGCUGCUGGCCUCCGUUGUUGCUGCUGCUCCCAGGUUGCUGCUUCUGCUGCUGCUGCUGGGCCAGCUCGGUGCCCAGGGUGAUGAAGUAGGGGAUGAUGGCCACGAUGUCGAUGAUGUUCAUGAUGUUGCGGGAGAACUCGGGCUUGCUGGGGCAGGCGAAGAAGCGCACGAGGAGCUCGAAAGAGAACCAGAUGAUGCACAGGGUCUCGAUGAGGAAGAAGGGGUCUGUGAAGAACGGGCCGGAGCCGGCGGCGGGACGCAGGGGCGGGGGGGUCCCGCUCGGCGGUGGCAGCGGCGGCAGCAGCAGCACCUCGUCCCCGAGCGGCGCAGCGUCCCCGAAGCCAGGCUGGGGGCCCUUGGGCUCCUGGCGGAACUCAGGCAGGGUCUCCAGGCAGAAGAUGACGAUGGAGAUGAGGAUGACCAGCACGGAGACGAUGGCGAUGGCCCGGGCCGGCCC